CUGGACCAUGGGGAGAAGGGUGGCAAGAAGAAAUAAAAAGGCUGUGUGUGCGUGUGUGUGUGUGUGUGAGAGAGAGAGAGAGAGCGAUUUAAGCCCUUGCUUUUUAGAACUGAAUAGUUUUGUCUGUUUGUACUGCACUGUUACUCCUAUGUAUGUCUACCUCUCUUUCUUUAGCUCUUGGCUGGUUUUCAUAAUGCCAAUAAAAGUUCCUUUCUCCCCGCCAAAGGUUGUGUAAUAUAACUUGUCAGAAUGCUAGCAAUUCUGGAGUUUAGACGAAUGCAAUUAAAGUUGGAGCUCCA
rnacentral:lncRNA from 1 species